rnacentral:rRNA from 1 species
GACAGAGGGUGCAAACGUUUGUUCGGAAUUACUGGGCGUAAAGCGAGUGUAGGCGGUUUCCUAAGUCAGGUGUGAAAGCCCCGGGCUCAACCCGGGAAGUGCACUUGAAACUGGGAGGCUAGAGUAUCGGAGAGGUUGGUGGAAUUCUCGGUGUAGAGGUGAAAUUCGUAGAUAUCGAGAGGAACACCGGUGGCGAAGGCGGCCAACUGGACGAAUACUGACGCUGAGACUCGAAAGCGUGGGGAGCAAACAGG